rnacentral:lncRNA from 1 species
CCCAUACAUACCUGUAGUGUAUAUGCAUUCUCUACAUACUUGGAUCUUUCCAUUCUAGAACACAACUAAAAUACAGUGAUACUACUACUACUACAUAACCUACAAGCUGUUCAAGGAAAAGAAAAACUCAGUUCCGAUUGCCAAUGAGAAUCCCUGUCAUUCAACUGUAGUUCUUUUAGCUCAGCACUGAAAUAUUUCACCUAUAGUUGUCGAAAGGUCUUUUAGUAACUGCGGAUUGGCGGUUAACCCAGCAGUUUAAUCGCAGUGUCCAUGCAUAUCAUCAGAAAGACCGGUCUCCGAAAAAGAAAAUCAUCAUAAAGUUCAGAACUUCAACUGUUGACUCAGAAUUAAGAAAGCACAUUGAUGAAUGGAUACAAUUCGUUAGAGCGAUAAUUCAAUAGGGAACAAAGCCACAUUGUCUCACAUGCCAUCCCCCUCCUAUUUUACUCCACCCGCCCCCACUGGCCAACCCCAAAAGAAUUGACAACGUCCCC